rnacentral:lncRNA from 1 species
CAUGAUUACACAAAUCCACUUAAUUUAUGAUUUUAUUCUUUUUCUUAGAUUUUUUUCUUUUUAUUUCUUUUUCAUUCAUCCUUCUUUGUGUACUCUUAGGAUCUUCUUUCACCCAUCCACAAUAUUUUCAUACCCUUAUUUGUUUAGUAAAACUUUGUAGAAUAGCCACCCUUAACUUUGAGGUGUACGAUGUCCAAGGAAGGACCAGUACCAAAAUAGAGGUUUAAUGA